rnacentral:rRNA from 1 species
CCAACCCGAUGCAAACUGCGAAUACCGGAGAAUGUUAUCACGGGAGACACACGGCGGGUGCUAACGUCCGUCGUGAAGAGGGAAACAACCCAGACCGCCAGCUAAGGUCCCAAAGUCAUGGUUAAGUGGGAAACGAUGUGGGAAGGCCCAGACAGCCAGGAUGUUGGCUUAGAAGCAGCCAUCAUUUAAAGAAAGCGUAAUAGCUCACUGGUCGAGUCGGCCUGCGCGGAAGAUGUAACGGGGCUAAACCAUGCACCGAAGCUGCGGCAGCGACGCUUAUGCGUUGUUGGGUAGGGGAGCGUUCUGUAAGCCUGUGAAGGUGUGCUGUGAGGCAUGCUGGAGGUAUCAGAAGUGCGAAUGCUGACAUAAGUAACGAUAAAGCGGGUGAAAAGCCCGCUCGCCGGAAGACCAAGGGUUCCUGUCCAACGUUAAUCGGGGCAGGGUGAGUCGACCCCUAAGGCGAGGCCGAAAGGCGUAGUCGAUGGGAAACAGGUUAAUAUUCCUGUACUUGGUGUUACUGCGAAGGGGGGACGGAGAAGGCUAUGUUGGCCGGGCGACGGUUGUCCCGGUUUAAGCGUGUAGGCUGGUUUUCCAGGCAAAUCCGGAAAAUCAAGGCUGAGGCGUGAUGACGAGGCACUACGGUGCUGAAGCAACAAAUGCCCUGCUUCCAGGAAAAGCCUCUAAGCAUCAGGUAA